rnacentral:tRNA from 1 species
GCCUGAGUGGCUCAGUCGGAUGAGCGUCUGGCUCUGGCUCAGGUCAUGAUCUCACAGUUUGUGGGUUCAAGCCCCGCAUUAAGCU